AGAACGAACGCUGGCGGCAUGCCUAAUACAUGCAAGUCGAACGAACACUUCGGUGUUAGUGGCGCACGGGUGCGUAACGCGUGGGAAUCUGCCCUUGGGUUCGGAAUAACAGUUGGAAACGACUGCUAAUACCGGAUGAUGACGUAAGUCCAAAGAUUUAUCGCCCAGGGAUGAGCCCGCGUAGGAUUAGCUAGUUGGUGAGGUAAAGGCUCACCAAGGCGACGAUCCUUAGCUGGUCUGAGAGGAUGAUCAGCCACACUGGGACUGAGACACGGCCCAGACUCCUACGGGAGGCAGCAGUGGGGAAUAUUGGACAAUGGGCGAAAGCCUGAUCCAGCAAUGCCGCGUGAGUGAUGAAGGCCUUAGGUUGUAAAGCUCUUUUACCCGGGAUGAUAAUGACAGUACCGGAGAAUAAGCUCCGGCUAACUCCGCGCCAGCAGUCCGC
rnacentral:rRNA from 1 species